AACAGAUAGUCAGUCAGAGCAUACAAGUUGGUGAGCGAACCUUAAAGACAUGACAUUCUCUCAGAGGACCUGAGGACCUACCCUGGGGGUCAGACAUGUUCUAAAAAGGUCAAACUCUCCUGAAAACUGAAUCGAGUUAUAUACUGUAGAACAAGAGGACAUUACUAGUCAGGUUAGAUGUAGAGUUAUAUACUGUAGAACAAGAGGACAUUACUAGUCAGGUUAGAUGUAGAGUUAUAUACUGUAGAACUAGAGGACAUUACUAGUCAGGUUAGAUGUAGANNNNNNNNNNACCAUGAGGUCUGUGAUUAACAGUUGACCCAUCAGUAUUAUAGUAAUAAACCAUGAGGUCUGUGAUUAACAGUUGACUCAUCAGUAUUAUAGUAAUAAACCAUGAGGUCUGUGAUUAACAGUUGACCCAUCAGUAUUAUAGUAAUAAACCAUGAGGUCUGUGAUUAACAGUUGACCCAUCAGUAUUAUAGUAAUAAACCAUGAGGUCUGUGAUUAACAGUUGACCCAUCAGUAUUAUAGUGAUAAACCACGAGGUCUGUGAUUAACAGUUGACUCAUCAGUAUUAUAGUAAUAAACCAUGAGGUCUGUGAUUAACAGUUGACCCAUCAGUAUUAUAGUAAUAAACCAUGAGGUCUGUGAUUAACAGUUGACUCAUCAGUAUUAUAGUAAUAAACCAUGAGGUCUGUGAUUAACAGUUGACCCAUCAGUAUUAUAGUAAUAAACCAUGAGGUCUGUGAUUAACAGUUGACCCAUCAGUAUUAUAGUAAUAAACCACGAGGUCUGUGAUUAACAGUUGACCCAUCAGUAUUAUAGUAAUAAACCACGAGGUCUGUGAUUAACAGUUGACUCAUCAGUAUUUUAGUAAUAAUCAUAAUCUCUAUAUGUGAAACUCUA
rnacentral:lncRNA from 13 species